rfam:TPA: Bos taurus chromosome 19, whole genome shotgun sequence.
UCCCUGGUGGUCCAGUGGUUAAGACUCUGUACUUUCCAAUGCAGGACGUGUGGGUUCAAUCCCUGGUCAGGGAA